rnacentral:rRNA from 1 species
GGACUACCGGGGUUUCUAAUCCCGUUUGCUCCCCUGGCUUUCGCGCCUCAGCGUCAAUACCGGUCCAGGAUGCCGCCUUCGCCACCGGUGUUCCUCCAGAUAUCUACGCAUUUCACCGCUACACCUGGAAUUCCACAUCCCUCUCCCGGAUUCGAGCCUUCCAGUCUCAGACGCAGUUCCCGGGUUGAGCCCGGGGAUUUCACGUCUGACUUAGAAGGCCGCCUACGCGCCCUUUACGCCCAGUAAUUCCGAACAACGCUUGCCCCCUCUGUAUUACCGCGGCUGCUGGCAC